rnacentral:rRNA from 1 species
AGGGUUUGAUCCUGGCUCAGAAUGAACGCUGGCGGCGUGGCUAAGACAUGCAAGUCGAACGAACCAUUUAUGGUUAGUGGCGAAAGGGUUAGUAAUGGUUAGGUAACGUACCCCAUGCUUCAGGAUAGCGUCAGUUACUUCGGUAACUUUCCGAAAGGGGCGGUAAUACUGAAUAAUAUCAUAAGUUGAUAGACUUAUGAUCAAAGAUUUAUCGACGUGGGAGCGGCCUAAUUCCUAUCAGCUUGUUGGUGAGGUAAUGGCUCACCAAGGCUAUGACGGGUAGCGGGACUGAGAGGUUGGCCCGCAACAUCGGGACUGAGACACUGCCCGGACCUCCACGGAGGGCUGCAGUAACGAAUAUUGGGCAAUGGGCGAAAGCCUGACCCAGCGACGCCGCGUGUAGGAGGAAGUCCUUCGGGAUGUAAACUACUUUUCGGAGUAAGAAAGUCUUCGGAUUGAUCUAAUCCGGAAUAAGUCACGGCUAACUUCGUGCCAGCAGCCGCGGUAAUACGAAGGUGGCAAGCGUUAUUCGGUAUCACUGGGCUUAAAGCGUGUGUAGGUGGAAAAGUAAGUGUUUUGUGAAAGCCCUCGGCUCAACCGAGGAAUUGCUUAGCAUACUGCUUUUCUUGAGGCAAGUAGGGGUACGUGGAACUCUUGGUGGAGCGGUGGAAUGCGUAAAUAUCAAGAGGAACGCCGAUGGUGAAGACAAUGUACUGGACUUGUCCUGACACUCAGACACGAAAGCGUGGGGAGCAAACAGGAUUAGAUACCCUGGUAGUCCACGCUGUAAACGAUGCCUACUAGGUCGUGGGAGUUCUGACGCUUUCACGGCCGAAGCAAAAGUGUUAAGUAGGCCGCCUGGGGAGUACGGUCGCAAGGCUAAAACUCAAAGGAAUUGACGGGGGCUCACACAAGCGGUGGAGCAUGUGGAUUAAUUCGAAUCAACGCGCAGAACCUUACCUGGGUUUGACAUGCUUGGAUGCCCUUCUGGAAACAGAAGUAAGCUGCCCUUCGGGGUGAAACUUGCACAGGUGCUGCAUGGCUGUCGUCAGCUCGUGUCGUGAGAUGUCGGGUUAAGCCCUUUAACGAGCGAAACCCUUACCGUUAGUUGCCAGCGCGUCAUGGCGGGGACUCUAACGGGACUGCCGGUGUUAAACCGGAGGAAGGUGGGGAUGACGUCAAGUCCUCAUGGCCUUUAUGCCCAGGGCUUCACACGUGCUACAAUGGUCGAUACAGAGCGACGCAAGACCGCGAGGUGGAGCAAAUCGCAAAAAGUCGGCCCCAGUUCGGAUUGCAGGCUGGCAACUCGCCUGCAUGAAGGUGGAAUCGCUAGUAAUCGCGUGUCAGCUAUAACGCGGUGAAUGUGUUCCUGAGCCUUGUACACACCGCCCGUCAAGUGAUGGGAGUUGGGAGUACCCGAAGUCGGAUUGCUAACCCAGUUUACUGGGAGGCGUCUGCCGACGGUAAGCCCGAUGACUGGCACUAAGUCGUAACAAGGUA